rnacentral:rRNA from 1 species
GACGAACGCUGGCGGCGUGCCUAAUACAUGCAAGUAGAACGCUGAGGUAGGAGCUUGCUUCUCUUGAUGAUUUGCGAACGGGUGAGUAACGCGUAGGGAACCUGUCUCUUAGCGGCGGAGAACUAUUGGAGACGAUAGCUAAUACCGCAUAAUAUUAGAUGUUGCAUGACAUUUACUUAAAAGAUGCAGUUUCAUCACUACCAGAUGGACCUGCGUUGUAUUAGCUAGUUGGUGGGGUAACGGCUCACCAAGGCGACGAUACAUAGCCGACCUGAGAGGGUGAUCGGCCACACUGGAACUGAGACACGGCCCAGACUCCUACGGGAGGCAGCAGUAGGGAAUCUUCGGCAAUGGGCGAAAGCCUGACCGAGCAACGCCGCGUGAGUGAAGAAGGUCUUCGGAUCGUAAAGCUCUGUUAUAAGAGAAGAACGAGUGUGAGAGUAGAAAGUCAAGACUGGACGGGAAUUUACCAGAAAGCCACGGCUAACUACGUG